rnacentral:pre_miRNA from 1 species
GGAAUAUAAGAACCCGUCUCUUAACUUUUAACUAAAAAAAUUAAGAACCGGUUCUUAAAUCUCUUAUUUAAGAGCCAGUUCUUAGCUUUUUUAGUUAAAAGUUAAGAGACAGGUUCUUAUAUUCC